AAGCACAGUGGGACCACCAGGCCACUUUAUGGGAUGUUUGAGGUUCACACGCAUCAAGCAUUUCACCAACCCCAUUUAGCUGCUCUGGUGCAGCAGGGAAUAGGUGGAAACUUGGAUUAAUUAGCACUGUGACUUGCCAAGUGAGAUAAAAGCAAGAGAGUUAAGGAUGACUGCAUGGGAGUGACUGUAAUGACAGUGGAAUUUAAACUAGAUAAGGAGCAAAAAGGAAACGAAGAAGACGAAAGUGAGUGCAAAGCAAGUAGAAUCACAGGAAUGGUCUUUUCAGUAGGUUUUGAGGAUUUCUGAAGUCCGAGACAUAAAGGGAAUGUGCAGGAAGGAAAGGAGAUGGUCAUAAACGAAGUAAAGGAAAUUGAAAUAAGAGGGCUGUGUUUUUUAGUAAUGGCAAAUUAGGGUAGUUGAGACAGGUGGAAGACAAAAUCUUUUUUUUUUUCCUUUUUUUGGAGACGGAGUCUCAUUUUGUCAUCCAAGCUGGAGUGCAGAGGCGUGAUCUAGGCUCACUGCAACCUCUCGGAUUCAAGGGAUUUUCCUGUCUCAGCCUCUCAGAAGAGAACAUCUUCAUAGGAGAGGAGCUCUAGGAACUGAGAAUGCAGGAAAUUGGAAGAAAUAUACAUUAAUAGCCAAGAAUUUAGACAGGACUGGGGAGCCAGGAACAAACAUUUGAGAUGUUGGGCUUUUAAUGGAGUUGCCACGGAUGACAGCAUCAUGAGAAAUGAGGUUUAAAAAUGGAGGAUUGUUCGAGGAGGGAGGAGGGCUGAUCUGAAAGCCACAAGGAGGACAAAUGGAACACCUACCCCCACUACAGGCUGGAAGGAAACAUGGAUGAACAUGGCCAGGGAGAGAGGAAAAGGAUGAAAGAACAAGGUGCCUACCAUGGAGGAUGCAAAAGAAAUUUUUCCCCGAGAACUGUAGUCCCAGCUAUCUCCUCUGCAGAACUCUGUGCUAAUGAUAGAAUUUGCAUACUAAUGAUAAUUGCAACCAAGAAAGCUGUAUUCUCUUUCUACUCGAGAUAGAGAGUCUCACUAUGCUGGCCAGACUCGUCUCAAACUUCUGGGCUCAAGCAAUCCUCCCACCUGCCUCAAUCUCCCAAAAUGCUGGAAUUACAGGCAUAAGCCAUCACACCCAGCCAGUAAUUGACUCUGAAAGUAACACACAAAGAUUGGAAAGUGAUCUAAGUUCUGAAUUCAAAUAUCAACACAUGCAUUUUGCUAUUUCUUUGUUCUUUAAUUGCAGCAAGAACAAAUAACAUGAGAUCUAUCUUCUUAUCAAAUUUGUAAGUAUAUAGUAGAGUAAUGUUACCUACAGGCACAAUGUUGUACAGCAUUUGUUCUACAUAAUGUUCUACAGGUAUCUGUAGAACUUAUUCUUCUUACCUAACUGAAACUAUGCCUGUUAAAUGGCAAAUCCCAAUUUUCCUCUCACCCAGCCUCCAGCAACCACUAUCCUACUUUCUGUUUCUGCUAGUUUUACUAUAUUGAACUCCAUAUAUAAGUGGAAUCACAUAGUAUUUGUCCUUCUGCAACUAGCUUAUUUUACUUAGCAUAAUGUCCUCAAGGUUCAUUCACGCUUUCUUAUAUAGCAGGAUUUGUUUAUUAUGGUUGGAUAAUAUUCCAUUAUAUGUUUAUAAGACAUUGUCUUUACACAUUCAUCUCUCAAUGAAUAUUUUGGUCAUUUCCACAUUAUAGCUAUUGUGAAUAAUCAUACAAAGGAAUUGAACAGGGAGCCCAGAAGGAAACUCAUGCUUAUAUGGUCAACUGGUGUUUGGCAAGGGUCCAAGAAUACUCACUGGGAAAAAGAGAGUCUCUUUAAUUAAUGAUGUUGGGAAAACUGAAUAUCCAUAGCAAAAAAAUAAAAUUGAACACUCCUCUCACACAAUAUAUAAAAAUCAACUCCAAGUAAAAAAAACUUCAUGACAUUGUCUCAGCAAUUAUUUCAUGGGUAUGACACCAAAAGCACAAACAACAAAAGGAAAAAUAGACAAGUGUGAUUACAUAAAACUAAAAAGUUUUGCAAAGCAAAAGAAAUAACAGAGUGAAAAGUCAAGCUAUGAAAUGGGAGAAAACAAUUAUAAACUAUAUAUCUGAUAAAAGAUUAAUUUCCAAAAUAUAUAAGGAACAACUUAAUAGUAAAAAGGCAAGUAAGUCAGUUAGAAAGUGGACAAAGGACUUGAAUAGACAUUUCCCCCAAAAUGAUGUAAAAAUGACUAACAGGUAUGUGAAAAAGAUAUUCCCACUAACAGUUAAAAGAUAUCAUCACUCGGCUGGGUGCAGUGGCUCAUGCCUGUAAUCCUAGCACUUUGGGAGGCCGAGGCGGGUGGAUCACCAGGUCAGGAGAUCAAGACCAUCCUGGCUAACACGGUGAAACCCCGUCUCUACUAAAAAUACAAAAAAAUCAGCCGAGCGUGGUGGCGGGCACCUGUAGUCCCAGCUACUCGGGAGGCCGAGGCAGGAGGACGGUGUGAACCUGGGAGGCAGAGCUUGCAGUGAGGUGAGGUCACGCCACUGCACUCUAGCCUGGGUGACAGAGCAAGACUCUGUCUCAAAAAAAAAAAAAAAAGAUAUCAUCACUCAACAUCAUUAGUCAUCAGGAAAACACAAAUCAAAACCACAAUGAGAUAUUGUUUCAUACCUGUUAGAAUGGCUAUUAUAUAAUUUUUGAAAAACUGGUGUUGACAAGGAUGUGGAGAAAUUGGAAGACUUGUACACUGUUGGUGGGAAAAUCAAAAUGGUGCAGCCACUAUGAAAAAUAAUUUGGAAGUUCCUCAAAAAAUUAAACAUAGAACUAUCAUAUAAUCCAGCAAAUCCCACUUCUGUAUGUUUGUACAAUUGAAUUAAAAUCAAGAUCUUGAAGAGAUAUAUGCACUCCCAUGUUUAUUGCAGCAUUAAUCACAAUAGCCAAGACAUGGAUUUGAAAGAUAUUAAUACGUCAGAGAAAUUGUCCAAAAGGAGCUUUGCUCGGUAAAGAAACAAAGGGAGGAGGGGGGUGGGAUUUGUGUUUCUCAAGUUACUUCAAUUUUAACUAUUACAGUGUUUUGAAAUUUCUCCAGUGGAAAUAUAUAUUAAACACAAGUAUAACAGCCAACAAGUUUGACGGAGAGUUAACCAACUUUAACUCAAAGCAUCAUUUUCAAAUGCCUCCUCUACAGUGUUCCUUCUAGUGAAGUAGAUGUUUGGUUAUAUGAAGAGGACCUUUAGUGAUAAACUUUUACAAUAAACAUGAGUAAUCUAUGUAAUCAAAUAACUGUUGAAGAGUCAGUCUUCAAAUUUCAUAGUAUUACAAAAGUAAAUGUUGAUGUCCUAAAUUGUACUCAGGUUUUGUUCAAUAUGAGAGAAGUUAUAAUGUAAUGGAGAGAAUUAUUGGUCCUGUCUAGAUGAUCUGAGGAAACAAGAUGGAGACUGCCACACGAGUAGGAUUCUAAGGAAAUUAACUCAAUCUUGGCAGAGAGUUCUAGUUGUCUCUUCAGCAUUCAUGACCCCUCACUGUCCUCCUUAAGAAGAGAAAUCAAUUUUUAACUGAGCUCCUUAUCAGCUUGUGGUCAUAUGACUAUGUUCUGGCCAACAAGAUACAAAUGGACAUGUAUGAGACUUCUGGAAAACUGUUUAUAGAGAAUCUACUUCUAGAAGGAACACAUUUUUAAUUCUCUUAGCUUUCUUCUUCUACUUGAUCUGCAACUCAGAUAUGAGAGCUAAAGUUUCAGCAGCCAUCCUUGUCUAUGAGGAAAUUCUGAGGGUAAGAACUACGUGGUAGGAUGGAGGGGAAGAAUAAUUGGCACUAACCUACUAGCUCUGAACAACCUAUUUCCAGACUUACUGUGUAAUGUGACAUUUUUACCUAGAUGGCACUGUUUGUGCAAUUAUUUAAAUAUUUUAUUACUUUCCACUCUCUUUACUUAGAAAGUUCUAAAACAUGGACAAAUGAAAAUGUGAUGCAAAUGAUAAAACAAUACAACUGGCACAGAAGAAAUUCUUAGCUUUAAUUGUCUACCCUUUAGAUUUAUGUCAUCCAACUGUCUGCUUAAUUAUGAAAGAAAAUAAAUAAGUAUAAAUGGUAAACACAAAUAUAUAUGCAGUGCUUAAACAUAUUUUUGAAUAUGUUUAAAAUAGUUUAUAAGGAAUAGUUUAUCAUUUGACUUUUUAUGUGGAGUUUUUCGUAGAAAGUUUUAAGAAUUAAUUAUAAAUGAAAGCAGAAAAAUCC
rnacentral:lncRNA from 1 species